rnacentral:rRNA from 1 species
UACGUAGGGACCAAGCGUUGUUCGGAUUUACUGGGCGUAAAGGGCGCGUAGGCGGUGCCUCAAGUCAGGCGUGAAAGCCCCGGGCUCAACCUGGGAAUUGCAUUUGUGACUGCACGGCUAGAGUGUGUCAGAGGGGGGUAGAAUUCCACGUGUAGCAGUGAAAUGCGUAGAUAUGUGGAGGAAUACCGAUGGCGAAGGCAGCCCCCUGGGAUAACACUGACGCUCAUGCACGAAAGCGUGGGGAGCAAACAGG